rnacentral:rRNA from 1 species
UACGUAGGGGGCAAGCGUUGUCCGGAAUUAUUGGGCGUAAAGAGCGUGUAGGCGGCCAUGUAGGUCCGUUGUGAAAACUCGAGGCUCAACCUCGAGACGCCGAUGGAACCAUGUGGCUAGAGUCCCGGAAGAGGAGAGUGGAAUUCCUGGUGUAGCGGUGAAAUGCGCAGAUAUCAGGAAGAACACCCGUGGCUAAGGCGGCUCUCUAGUACGGUACUGACGCUGAGACGCGAAAGCGUGGGAGCGAACAGG